GAAGUAAAAAAAAAGAAUAGAUGACUUAAACUGCUAAUCCUAAACUGAAAACACAACGGAGGUGCCAAUAACAGAACUAAAUGGGCUCAAAGUAAAAAAAAUUAGAUUUAAUCCAAAAUGAAAGAAAACAAAAACAACAAAACAAAAAGUAAAUAAAUAAUAGGAAGAAUAAAGAGAUACUUUUUAAAAAGAAUAAAAUUAAAAGAAAGACAUAAAAUAAAAGCCAAAAGUAAAAUUAAAUGCAAAAAAAAAAUUGAAAAGGAA
rnacentral:lncRNA from 1 species